CAGACCCCAGCCACCACCAGCUCCACAACCCCAGCCAGAGACAACAAGCCCACAGCAGUCUCACCACAGGUCAGGGGACUUUUGCCACCUUACCCUCGGACCACAUCCCGGCUGGGAACUGGAAGAACAUCGACUGGGGGGACCCCCACCGACCACUACUUCGGCCAAACCUAAAGCUGAUGGGGAUCGGUUAAACCUGGACUUG